CCAAUAGCGUAUAUUAAAGUUGUUGCAGUUAAAAAGCUCGUAGUUGAAUUUCGGGGUUGGUAAGUUGGUUGUGCCACUGGUAUGUACUGGCUUUACUGAUUCCUCCUUCUUGUAGAACCGUAAUGCCAUUAAGUUGGUGUUGCGGGGAAACAGGACUGUUACUUUGAAAAAAUUAGAGUGUUUAAAGCAAGCUAACGCUUGAAUACAUUAGCAUGGAAUAAUGAAAUAGGACGUUCGAUCCUAUUUUGUUGGUUUCUAGGAUUUACGUAAUGAUUAAUAGGGAUAGUUGGGGGCAUUAGUAUACAAUUGUCAGAGGUGAAAUUCUUGGAUUUAUUGAAGACUAACUACUGCGAAAGCAUUUGCCAAGGAUGUUUUCAUUAAUCAAGAACGAAAGUUAGGGGAUCGAAGACGAUCAGAUACCGUCGUAGUCUUAACCAUAAACUAUGCCGACUAGGGAUCGGAUGAUGUUAAUUUUAUAAUGACUCAUUCGGCGCCUUACG
rnacentral:misc_RNA from 1 species